rnacentral:rRNA from 1 species
UACGGAGGGUGCGAGCGUUGUCCGGAAUCAUUGGGCGUAAAGGGCGCGUAGGUGGCCACUUCAAGCGUGCGGUGAAAGUCGGGGGCUCAACCCCUGAUCGGCCGUGCGAACUGGGGGGCUGGAGCACUGUAGAGGCAGGCGGAAUUCCGGGUGUAGCGGUGGAAUGCGUAGAGAUCCGGAAGAACACCGGUGGCGAAGGCGGUCUGCUGGGCAGUUGCUGACACUGAGGCGCGACAGCGUGGGGAGCAAACAGG